rnacentral:lncRNA from 1 species
AUCAGUAUCACAAACCCAAACUUAAUUCCCCACUCCACUUUUUUUUUUUUCUCUCUCUCUCUGACUCUCUCUCUUCACUUUUAUCUCUCGAUCUCAACUCUUUCCUUCGUUUCACAUGAAAUUCUUUUGAUUUCUCCAUCAGUUUUUUCACUACUUUAUCAAAUAUCAAGGAUUCUAGUUUUUUUUUUUCUUUUUUUUUCUCUCUCUCUUUCUCUUUCUCUGUUCUUCGAGUGCGUUCUGCAAAUCAUUAGAUCUACUCACAAUGCUGUUGAUUCACCACUACGUCUGAUCUCUUCUCUUUAACACACAAAGGUUUAAGGUUCGUUCUCUUUCUAUUUCGAUUCAUUCUUUCAUUUUACUUGUUCUCAACCUUCAUUAACUUUGAAUUGUUUGCAUUUCAGCUCAAUUUCAUUAAGAUAUUCAUUAUUUGUUCAAUUUCAAUACAUUUUAAUUAAAAAGUGAGAAAACAGAUAUACAGUAGUUUGAAUUGAAUGAGUAGAAGAAAUUAGAAAUGUUUUGAUUUCUUUUCAUUAUUUAUUAUUGUUCUAGGGUUUUUUUUCUCCCUCAAAUCAACCGUAUUUCCCGAUUAAAAAAAACUCAUCUUGUGGAAUUUUGGUUGAGUUUAUAAAGUUAGUUAAUGUUGAAGAAUGAAGGCUUUGAAGAGUAGUUUUUAGUUAUGUAAGAUAUUAAAAAUAUCAGGUCAUAUUUGCAGAUAACGAUUUAGUUUAUGGCGAGAUCAAGACAACAAUUUACGUCUGAGGAUGUAUUGAUUUUUGUUUAAUUAAUUAACAGGUCAUAUCAUUUUCACUCUAAACCGUUGACACAGUUUGUUUAGAUUGUUGGAAAAUUACUUAAGCUUUACAUGCCUUUUCCUUUAAUAUACUUCCUUUGUCUGCUGUUGUAAUCAUCUUUGAAUUUUUUUAUAAUAAACCUGUAGAGGUGGCUGGAUAUUGUUGAUAACUCAAUAACCAACUCAAAGCCAACACUGACUGAAGAGUUUGAUAUAUUGAGAUUUUGCUGAAUGUGACGCGAGCAACUGUUGGAUGACAAAAACAAUUUGCUUAUAAUGCAAUGGUUUUAAACAUAACCCAUAUACGGAUUUGUGUGGCAUAGCUAGCAUAACUAAAGGGAUUGUGAUACGACUAUUCUAUGUUACAUGUCACCAGCCUAUAGAUAUGAUCCCAUGAUUGAGUAGCGAAUGUUGGCAGCAAUGGUACUAUUAGAUUUGUAAUAAGAAGCUUAUGAGUUGAACUUAGUGAGAAGAUAGAGCUUGCAUUCAGCAAGCUUAUUGUAGCAGGAGACCAAUAAAAUUGGGCCUCACAUUUUACUCAUUCAAUGUCCGACAUCGAUGAGAGAUAGUAAGAGUUUGCAACCUGUAUAAUACAUUGUACAGGUGCUUUCUCGAUACCAAUAUAGGACAUUUUAAUCUUACUAAACUUACUUGGUUAACUAGUAGGGGGCUGCAAGUUCGAUAAUUUAGGCUGAAUUACAAUAUGUACUAUGUACAACUUGGUUUCUGGUUGAUAAUCUGACAAACCCAUACUUACAGAAGAAUAAACUGCGCCUAUCUUCCAACAUUUCAUCCACAUGUGAGUCUCUCUCAUGUAAACGUUUCGAGAAUUCCAUAGCUGUAAGCCUGUAAACUUUGCCACUCAUUACAGAGUGAAUAUAGAUGUGUACGUAAUCACUUCAUACAGUGCCACCACAUUUUUGUGUACUGUAGACGUUGAGAACUGAUCAAUGGAAAUGAAAACACAUAUAUCAUUCCGCAUAUGAAAGGAGACUGUCAGGGUGGAUUUAUGACUUCUAGUCCCACCUUGCUAGUGAAGGAUUUCUGUCAACAAACAGUUUCUAUAAAAUGUUUUUUGAUACUCACGCAGCUGCGCGGUGAACACAAAGCGGACUAUUCUUUCGCCUUUUACUAAAUGUUAAUUUGCGACAUUAGAGUGUAUUUUUACAGUGAAAUAUUGUUGUUUACGAUAUAUUAUUGCAUAUUGUGUGUUUGAUCAAAAAUUAUUGUGUGUUUGAUCAAAUCAGUGAAUUAGUAUUAUAACGAGCCGAAACGAGCCAGCGAGCCGAAACGAGCCGAGCUCGAGUUUUACUAUU